GACAUGAGGCAAGAUGUGCUGUGCAUCCUCCAUGGUCUCCUCAGGACAGCUUCCUCAGAGAAGUGACACCAGUGCUACUUCCAGUUCUAUCCCUGUUUUCAUGCCUUUGUCCCAGCCUAAUGACUCCUCUGAACUUGAACUCUUGAAUGUUGGUUGGAUUUGCAUGCCGUGCCUGUUCUAACUUGCACACAGCCUGGGCCAGCAGAGAUGUUUUAUCUACGGUGACAAAUUGCUGUGUAAAGUUACAGUGUGACAUGGAGAGAACAACCACCCUGAUGGGACUGCAAUCUGAGACACAUAAUAUACCAGGGAGAAGAGGCAAAGAAAACAAAGAAACUCCAGGCUGAUCUGCAGAAGGGCAGGAAAAAAUUGCCUUCCAGAUGAAAUAUGUGGCAAGAAGAGCUAUAUUUCCAAACAAUUUCAGAGAAAUAAUUUUGUAAGUUAUUUGUCACUCUGCUGCACAAAAUGAUCAGACACACUGUCCAAUCAACACCAAACUAGAAACUAACAGAUGCUUGGCAGUAAAGAAGGGUGUUGGAGGAUGUCAGAAGUGCUUCAGAAAAGCCUGCUGGUGACCAGAAAUAUAUUCACUUUCUGUUGGCGUGCAGGUAGCAUGCCCACAGCCACCUGAAUUCUGACUGCAUUACAAAAUGAGGCAUGAGAUGUGCUCCAACAUGUGCUGGCAGGAGCAGUCGGAGAAGACUGGCUACAGAAGCUCAUCAAGAAAUGCAAAAGGCAUGACCUGCUAUCUAAGGAGCACCCUCUAAGAGUGCCCAUCUCCCAGGAUGCAAGAUUUGCCAAGGCACAGGUGAUGGAGCGUCCCGGCAGAGAGCAGGAGCCAUCAGCUGGAGGUCUGGGGUGAGAUACAGCUUCUCUGAGUUACUUCCCUGACCAUUAUCCAAGACUCACAGAAGAUGUGCUGGAUGAGCUGAUGAGCCUUUUGUACUGCAGAUCUCCUCAAAACGCUGCAGGGUCAACAGCACAGUGCCAAACUAGAGUCAAUGAGGCCUUACGCAGACACUCAAGAAUAACAAGUCAACCAGUGGAUUUGCAGGCAGACUGUAACAGCUUGUUAUCUGAUGUCCCCUGGGCACAAACACUGAGACAUCUGCAGUUUUUGACCUUUUUUUGUCUCUCCUGGCUCAAUAGCUAGUUAGCUGGUCAUUCAAUGUGAAAACAAAACAGAGGAAAGGAGAGCAAAUUGCAAUAGGCAGGAGAUGCUGGACAAUUAGGAUGCCAAAAGGACUGGAAAUAUGUAAGUACAGAAGUUGCUUUGCUCUGCUUUAUUAUUUGUGUAUUAAACUCUCUGAGUUGGUUUUUGGAACUCUGUUAAAAGCAGGGUUUCAAUAUGCCAGUUGUCACUGAACUUUUAUGUUGGUUUUAUUUUGCAUGUAUUUUGCAUCUCUAUUCUCUUUGCUUGGCACUGCAAGUUAGAAAUUAACCUGAAAAACACACGUUGAGACUUCACUGACUUUCCCAGACAUUUUUUUUUUGUCUGAGAACACAAAGCUCUCUUCAUAGCAUCUCCUCUAGUCCCAUCAAGGGGAGGGAAGAUCCCCAGAAGACUGACUUCUGGAUCAUCCUUUGUACUGAGAUCUCAGUUCCUUGGAAUGCAGUGACUGCACUAGCUUACAUGCACGGGGGUGUGGAGCCUCCUUCCUGUUUCUAGGCUCUUGUUAAUAAAGAGUGUGCCCACAUUCUCAGACAGGGCCCUAAUCACCAGCCUUAGCCUAAUCUCUUAAUUAAUUCCUGUUAAUAUAAAUGGACUCAAAAAGAUUCUUUUAGCCAUAGUGUUCAAGAAAUUAGAAGUCCUUUUUUGAGGAGACAGUGUGUUUCUUCUUUCAUGGUCUGGUAUAAUGACAGCACUGUCAUGCUGUAUGAGAAGGAUUUUCCACAUCCUAUGGUGCUCACUUCUCAUCCCUGGAUUAUAGUUGAUUUUAAAUCAACUCAGGAUAAUAGGUGACAGCUCAGUGUAUAUUAUGUGCAGCAUUUCAGUCUAGCAUAGGCAGAGACCUCCUGGCCUCUUGUUUCCAUAAUUUCUGUGUCUAAGAAUGGCCUAAAGUCAAGGUUGGGUUACACACCUUGUGCAAUAGAAGGCAACAAUAUGUGAAGUCCUGGGACCUGCCAAAGAAAUACACUGUUCCUGCUUCUGAUUUAAUCUGAUUUAUUCUCAUCACAUGGAUGUCCUGCAAUCAAGGUCAGAAAAGGAUUUGAGCCUAUUUCUGAUGUGGGAAGACAGCAGUCCCACAGGUAAAAAAACACAAAGAAGAGCUAAGUUCAGAUUGACCUUACUGAAAAAAAAGCAAGCUCCCAAAAUGGAGUGUAACUGGUCAGUAUCAUGAAGUGAAUCUGGAGCAGGGUAAGAAUUGUGGAAUUGUACCUGCCCACGUUAUAAACAGAGAUUCCCCUCUCUCGUGACUUCAAUUUUGCCUAGGAGAAUUCAUAUAAAAACAAAUAAAUGCCAAGAGAAAUGUUUCUAUUGUUUUCCUUCUCUGUAUCUAAUGAAAUCUGUUCCUUUAAAACAGAGCAAUAUCCUCCCCUAUGAUUUUUUGCAGUCACAUCGCAGAAAGAGAGAAAACCUGAAAGCAAAAUUGACUCCUUUUGAUUUUUCCUAGUUCAAGAGAGGAGACAUGCCAGUGGGAAGGAGAAUAAAAAUCACACUGAGUAAAUCUGGAUUUUAAACUGCCUCUAAUGAUCAACAGCAAUUAUACAAAUAUUUAUUUCUGAUUUUAUAGUUUAUUUGUGUUAAGGCCGACAGCAGAUUUUAAUUUGAUAUUCAGUCUUCCUUAUUAAAAAAAUUGUAUCUUUUAGAUUGGUUAUUUAAUUAUUUACUUCUGUAGGAGUUCAGAGUGCAAGUUGUUGGGGGGAUAAUUUUGUCAUGUACUGCUUUAGAAUGUAUUUUCUGCUCCCUAAUUCUUUGGUUGCUUAGGUACUACAGAUCAAAUCCUGUCUGCACUCAAGCUGACAAGAAAAUGUCCAGUAGUUUGAAUAGAGUGUUGAUUUUAUCCUUACUGUUCCUGCCCUAGUGGGAACUGCCAUAACAUCUAACAGCAGAUCUUUAACAUCUCUCCAGCGCUUUGAAGUGCAGCCCCUCAUAUUUCAUUCACCAUCUCAACCAAGAAGCAACAGAGGGACUGCAGCCCUGCUGCUGGAAGUGCAAGAGGGAGGCAGGAGGUAGGAGGAUGUGUCAUUUACUGCUUAGCAGGUUGGGUAACCUUUUUGCAUGUGGUUUGCUCAUGUGGUGACAGCGACAUGAUGUGCAACCCACAGCCACAGGCAGCUUUUUGCAACCUGCCUGUUUUGCAGCUGUGAUGGCUCUAACCUGUGAGACCAUCAGGCAUCUAGAGAUAUGCUGGUAAAUCUCUAUGCAUGGAAAUAUCACGACACAUGGGGGUUUUCCUUGUGUGUUUGGUGCUCAAAAGUUCCAACAAAUUUCAACACAUAGCAUGUUUAUGAGUGCUUAAGUAGCUAGGAACCCAGGCUCAGGCAGUCAGAUUUGAAAAAUCUAGUCAGUCUUAGAAAGAUGUGCUCUGUUGAAAGGAAUCUAGCCUAAAGAUGUUCAUGAAGCUUCAGUUUAUGUUGUAAAGAAACCUGUAGCGUGUGGUGUGCUUUCCACUUUUCCUGGAUUUCAUUAUGCCUUCCUGCCUCACAGAACAGCUGUAACAUUAAACCCAUUGAAAU